UCCUAGCAGUGGUAUCAGAGCCUCCCUUGGCUCGUUUUAAUGCAAAGGUACGUCUUGUUAUUGUUAAUUUCAAUUCUGAUUGGAUGUGAGGGAUUUGGAAGAGAGCAAGUAAGUGUUAAAUUUUGUUUAUGUUUUAAAGUAGUUUAUCACAUAUUUGAGUUUUGAUUUUUAAUACUUAUUUGUUUCUACAACUAAUCUUGUUUAAGUUUCUCAAUUUUGCAGAACAAUAUGUGCAUGAGAUGCACAAAAGAGUUUAGCAAGAAAAGGAUUCGAAUUCAUGGGAAACAAGAUGCGGUUUGGUGAUAGAAUUCGAUUCUGUCUAGAUUUGCAUGUGGUUGGCUUUUCAGUUUUUAACAGGGG
rnacentral:lncRNA from 1 species